rnacentral:lncRNA from 1 species
GCAUUUUCAAAAGAGAUCUUUGAACGAUCUGCCCCAGAGACUGGACAACAUCGAUGAACGGGAAUGCAGUGGGCAGAGGACCCAAAGGGUUUCAUUUUCUGUCUUUUUUUAAACAAUCAAAAUGAAAAGGUGAGUGAGAAGUCACUGUGCCUAAAGAUAUAUCUGUUUUAAAAGUCCUAUAAAAGUCAAGAAUUAAUGGAAUUACUGUAUUUGUGUUUAUGUUUUUUAGUCAAGGAGUGCUGAGAUAUUUUUCUCUCAGGAAAGAGGUGGAAUUCAUGCUUCCGGAAAACCAUUUCUUGACGCUCAGUGAAAAGUGAACCCUAAAAUUUUGUAGUCUAUGGGAAAUAACAAGCGCCAGGAGAUGGAGGAGCAGCCUUUGUUUACUUUUAAGUUUCUUUCCUAUUAUUCACAUGUAUACUGUUUUGGGACUUGGUGAACACUUAAAUUUCACGUGAGAUAGAAUCUUCAACUCAGAAGCACCAGUCCCUCUCAUUUGAGGAAAGGAUGAGAAGGAAGGAAUGGCCUGACUUCCUCAUGUAUGCCCUGAUUCUUGGUAGGCACCAUGUUGGGGCUGUCAUACAUGUGCCGAAGCUUUGGGAAUGUUCCAUUUAAACACCGAUUUCAAGGCCAAUGCCUUACAUGGAGCACAAAUAUCCAGGAGGAUCUUCCAAGUAAACUCCUUGCCUUUGACUCCCUGCCUUGGGCCCUCUUCAGAAGAUCCUCAGACCAGGACAGGAGUGUAGAGGCCAGGACCGCAACUACAAUUUUGUCAUGAACAGCAAACCUGGGUUGGUAGGCUGUGUGUUUGCAGAUGAUGAUGAUACUAAAGAAGUCUAUAGCAGUUCUCAGUGGCUGAAGCAUUCGGGAUGCAUGGUUUGUGGGGCACUCCAGGGAUGUCAUUUGAAGCCUGUGAACACGGAGCAGUCCUCCUGGUCAACUCAAAGACAGUUCCACAAGGCUUUUCUCCAUGUCACCACUGCUUAAACAUCUAGACUUCCUAUAAUCAGUGUGAGUAGUAAAAUAAAAAGAUACACUAGAUUGUCAUUGCUGGCCAAAAAAUCCAAAAUGGAUAAAACCAUUCAGAACUCUUGACUCAAGGACACACCUUACCAAAGUGACUGCCCG